rnacentral:rRNA from 1 species
UUUGGCCUCAAAUCAGGUAGGACUACCCGCUGAACUUAAGCAUAUCAAUAAGCGGAGGAAAAGAAACUAACAAGGAUUCCCCUAGUAACUGCGAGUGAAGAGGGAAAAGCUCAAAUUUGAAAUCUGGCAGUCUACGGCUGUCCGAGUUGUAAUCUAGAGAAGUGUUUUCCGUGCUGGACCGUGUACAAGUCCUUUGGAACAAGGCGUCAUAGAGGGUGAGAAUCCCGUCUACGACACGGACUCCCAGUGCUCUGUGAUACACUCUCAACGAGUCGAGUUGUUUGGGAAUGCAGCUCAAAAUGGGUGGUAAAUUCCAUCUAAAGCUAAAUAUAGGCGAAAGACCGAUAGCGAACAAGUACCGUGAGGGAAAGAUGAAAAGCACUUUGGAAAGAGAGUUAAACAGUACGUGAAAUUGUUGAAAGGGAAACGCUUGAAGUCAGUCGCGUCUUCAGAAACUCAGCCUGGCUUCUGCCUGGUGUACUUUUCUGUUGGACGGGCCAGCAUCAGUUUCGGCCGCCAGAAAAAGGUGGGAGGAAGGUGGCACCUUCGGGUGUGUUAUAGCCUCUCAUCGUAUGUGGUGGCUGGGACUGAGGACCGCAGCACGCCUCUAAUGGCCGGGGUUCGCCCACGUAACGUGCUUAGGAUGCUGGCGUAAUGGCUUUAAACGACCCGUCUUGAAACACGGACCAAGGAGUCUAACAUGCCUGCGAGUAUUUGGGUGGUAAACCCAUAUGCGGAAUGAAAGUGAACAGUUGGGACUUCUGUCAUGGAAGGCACCGACGCCCGGACCAGACCUAUUGUGACGGAUCCGAGGUAGAGCAUGUAUGUUGGGACCCGAAAGAUGGUGAACUAUGCCUGAGUAGGGUGAAGCCAGAGGAAACUCUGGUGGAGGCUCGUAGCGAUUCUGACGUGCAAAUCGAUCGUCGAACUUGGGUAUAGGGGCGAAAGACUAAUCGAA